CUUCAAUUUCAUUCUUAAGUUGUCAGCACUCUUCAGUGUCAUGACUGUGAUCUCGGUAGAAGUGACAAUACUUUCUUUUAUGCCUUUUCGAAGGUGGAGCUCUCGCAGGGUUAGGUCGGUGGAGAUAUUCUUUAUCCUCAAUUUUUAUCAAAAAUUGAGCUCUAGGAGCAGACAAUGAAGUAUAAUAAUUAAACUUCCGAAGUGGACUUCUCGACCUCAGAUUUUUUUGAGAUCGGUCUUCCUAUCGACUUGCGCGGUCUUCUU
rnacentral:lncRNA from 1 species